rnacentral:misc_RNA from 1 species
AGUUGUUAAAUGAUAAUGAAAGUUGGAGCAGUUGGUCCUCACUGGCUCAGUGACUAUCUUUUUACGAAUAUAACGACAAGUUCGUUUAAAUAUAUCGCAAUCACAUCAGCCGCUUCAGUUGAUACCCGUCAACCGCCGAAUGCGUUCGUUGCAGUGACAAUCCCACAUUGUCGAGUAACCGGAUUUAAGCGAAUCGGACAUCCUGGAAUCAGGGUCAAAGGACUGAUGGGGCGAGGAGUCAUGUUAUACAACGUAUUGGGAACUUUGACGACCUCGCUGUUGAUUCUGAAUGCUAGACCUACCUCGAGUGCUCCGAUAUCCCAGCCGAAUACUAACUCUACAGGCUUGCACUUACAUAUUCUGCACACAAAUGAUAAGCAUAGCAGUCAUUCUUCUAAUCAUAGGUUUGAACAAACAUCAGCAAGCUCGCAGACGUGCAGUGAUUCCGACGCGGUGAAAAACAAAUGCUAUGGAGGAUUUGCACGAUUGGCAACAGUGAUUAGAAAUGCUCGAGCUAGUAAUACCUCCGUGUUGUACCUCGAUGCCGGGGACACGUACCAAGGGUCCAACUGGUUCGUCGUACAUCGAUGGAACAUUGUCUCCAAAUUCCAGAACAUCUUAAGGCCAGAUGCGAUGUCUUUGGGAAACCACGAAUUUGACCACGGCGUCAACGGGCUGCUACCCUUUUUGAGAAAUGCUUCGUACCCGAUACUAGCAGCAAAUCUGAACCUGACAAAUGAGCCGGAGCUUCAGGCAACAAAACUGGCCAAAAGUACCAUCCUCGACGUUAACGGUACGCGAGUUGGCAUCAUCGGGUAUUUGACUCCGACAACGAAGAAUAUUGCUAACACCGGGAACGUUAUAUUCGAAGAUGAAAUCGAAGCCGUAUCCAAAGAAGCGAGGCGACUCAAGAACAGUGGGGUUAACAUCUUGAUCGGCCUUGGACACUCUGGCUACCAGAUGGAUAAGAGAAUUGCCGCAGAGGUCGAGGACAUUGACCUCGUAAUAGGCGGCCAUACCAACACAUUUCUGAACAACGGAACUCAGCCAGAUUCUGAAGUAUCGGAAGGCUUGUAUCCCACACCGGUAAUCCAAAGUAGUGGCAGAACAGUUUACGUAGUCCAAGCUUAUGCCUACACCAAGUACGUCGGCAACCUUUCCUUAACUUUUGACUCCGAAGGUGAACUCACUCGUAUUGAAGGAAACCCCAUUCUCCUUGACUCAAGAAUUGAGCAGGCUAGGGAUGUUUUGGAAGAACUGGAGAACUGGAGACAACUGGUAGACAAUCUAGGUAUCAACUACGUUGGUAGCAGCCGCGUCCUUCUCAACGGGGAUCGCAAAACUUGUCGUCGCCAAGAAUGUAAUAUCGGAAAUUUAAUAACUGACGCGUUGGUUGAUUACAACAUGAGGCAAUACCGAGGAGCGGACGGAUGGACCGAUGCAGCUAUCGCAGUUCUGAACACUGGGGUUAUCAGAAGUUCCAUUCCCGCCAAGAGCCAGAUUACAGAGGCUGACGUCCUUUCUGUAUUGCCAUACAGGAACGUACCUAUCACUGUUCUCAUGACCGGUGAGGUGUUGAGAUCGAUGCUUGAAUGGAGUGUUUCCUCAGUGACUAACGAUCUGAAUCAGGACGAUAGUGGCGCUUUUCUGCAAUUCUCCGGACUCCAGGUAACUUAUGAUUUUGGCAAGGUUCCUAACUCCAAGGUGGUUUCUGUAAGAGUUCGUUGUGCUAAUUGCUCUUUUCCUGAAUUUCGUGACUUGGACGAAAGAGAGAUGUACCCAGUGAUCAUGUCUGACUACUUGUAUGGAGGCGGUGAUGGAUUCAGCAUAUUACGUAACUUGAAAUCCAAAAAAAUCGUUUCAUCUUGUGUCACAAGAUAGUAUUUUUGACGUGAACUCACCUCGGUACUUUUUCACCAUUCGAAUCAUUGCAUUGACCGCAUCUUCCUCUUUGAUCAAAGAAUCUGAAGGAGUGUCAGGAUAGUUGCAGUCUCCAAAACCAGUUUGUCAACUUCAAGUCACCCGACCUUUUGACCCGCAUAACUUCGUAUCGAAUAUCGAAAUCUGGAGACCUACGUCAAGCCUGUUUACGACGUUCAAAGUUUUGAGCACAUUUAGAGCGACCGUGUCGACGUACGUGUUUCGUUGACACACGUUAUGCCGAUUAUCUCUGGGCCCUCGAUAAGUCUUUCGGCUUCCACAGCCAUUACAAUUGCUGCUGCAUCGUCCGGCGUUAUCAUGGACGGAUUCGUACAACUGGAAAGCGUAUCGUCCAAUUCUAGUAUUAGUGAUUUUUGUAUAAGCAAUUAUUAGUUGUCUUUUAUAUUUUGCAUGUACAUAAAGAAAAUUAGUUGAUUUUGCGAAAUAUGGCGCGAGAAACGUUUUGUUAAUUCGAAUAAUUGUGGUUUCAAUUGAUAGUAAAAAUUUUUGUUCUGUACAGUGAAAUGCAUAAAUCCCUUAGCCAUCCGGCUAACUUGUUUCCGGUUCCAUACAAAAUGCAACUUCGAUUCUACACGAAUUAUGUGUCGCAUGCAGCAUAAUACAUGGACAUAUCAUACAGGAUUAUUUAAGUGAGAUUGUUGAUUUUACUUUGAAAUAGUGACACCAAACACCAUAAGUAUACUGAUCAGUAAUUUAUCACCUAUCAUGCUGAUCAACGGACAGUAAUCAACUUUAAUGUUAUGGAAAAGACUUAGCAUCUCAACAACAAAUAUAUGAAUUUGAAUGAAAAGGGAGUCACCACUGGGUGGAUAUGUUUCGAGGAGUAAAAUUUGGAUGUCACUGAAUUCAUAAUUUUAUGAUUACCAAAAGUUCGAAGCUAGUAAAUUCUUUCUAACCAUAGCUCUCCCCUCCCUCCCCUGGACUCUGUCCAGUUCCGUUCGAACACUAGAUGACGUGUUACUAAUUUUAUGACAUCGUUAUACCUGGAU